rnacentral:rRNA from 1 species
GACGAACGCUGGCGGCGUGCCUAAUACAUGCAAGUCGAACGAGUUGCGAACGGGUGAGUAACGCGUAGGAACCUGCCUCAUAGCAGGGGUUAACUAUUGGAAACGCUAGCUAACACCGCAUACUUGGAGAUGCACCUGCGUUGUAUUAGCUAGUUGGUGAGGUAAAGGCUCACCAAGGCGACCAUACAUAGCCGACCUGAGAGGCUGACCGGCCACACUGGAACGGAGACACGGUCCAGACUCCUACGGGAGGCAGCAGUGGGGAAUAGUGGACAAUGGGCGCAAGCCUGAUCGAGCCAUGCCGCGGGUAUGAAGAAGGCCUUCGGGUUGUAAAGUACUUUCAGUGGGGAGGCGUUACCCGAAGAAGAAGCACCGGCUAACUCCGUGCCAGCAGCCGCGGUAAUAC